rnacentral:rRNA from 1 species
AUACGUAGGUGACAAGCGUUAUCCGGAUUUACUGGGCGUAAAGGGCGUGUAGGCGGUCUUGCAAGUCAGAAGUGAAAUUCCUGAGCUCAACUCGGGCGCUGCUUCUGAAACUGCAGGACUUGAGUGCUGGAGGGGAUAGCGGAAUUCCUAGUGGAGCGGUAAAAUGCGCAGAUAUUAGGAAGAACACCGGUGGCGAAGGCGGCUAUCUGGACAGUAACUGACGUUGAGGCGCGAAAGCGUGGGGAGCAAACAGGAUGAGAUACCCUGGUAGUCCACGCCGUAAACGAUGAAUGCUAGGUGUAGGGGGUAUCGACUCCCUCUGUGCCGCAGUUAACACAAUAAGUAUUCCGCCUGGGGAGUACGGCCGCAAGGUUGAAACUCAAAUGAAUUGGCGGGG